GGAGCCGUAGCGAAAGCGAGUUUUAACUGAGCGUUCAGUUACUUGACGUAGACCCGAAACCGGGCGACCUACCCAUGAGCAGGAUGAAGCGAAAGUAAAAUUUCGUGGAGGUCCGAACCCACGAGCGUUGAAAAGCUCGGGGAUGACUUGUGGGUAGCGGUGAAAUUCCAAUCGAGCCCGGAGAUAGCUGGUUCUCCCCGAAAUAGCUUUAGGGCUAGCCUCAAGGUGAGAGAUACGGAGGUAGAGCACUGAAUGUCCUAGGGGGUAUUGCACCUACCGAAGACUAUCAAACUCCGAAUGCCGUCAUCUUAUACUUGGGAGUCAGACUGUGGGUGAUAAGAUUCAUAGUCGAAAGGGCAACAGCCCAGAUCGUCAGCUAAGGUCCCUAAAUGUAAGUUAAGUGGUAAAGGAUGUGGGAUUGCACAGACAACCAGGAUGUUGGCUUAGAAGCAGCCACUCAUUCAAAGAGUGCGUAAUAGCUCACUGGUCGAGUGAUCCUGCGCCGAAGAUUUCCGGGGCUAAAACUUACUACCGAAGCUACGGCAUCAGUAAUGAUGGGUAGGGGAGCUUCCCAUACGGGUUGAAGCAUGACCGUAAGGACAUGUGGACAGUAUGGGAGUGAGAAUGUUGGCAUGAGUAGCGAGAUGUGGGUGAGAAUCCCACAGGCCGUAAACCCAAGGUUUCCAGGGGAAGGUUCGUCCGCCCUGGGUUAGUCGGGACCUAAGCUGAGGCCGAAAGGCGUAGGUGAUGGACAACAGGUUGAU
rnacentral:rRNA from 1 species